rnacentral:rRNA from 1 species
UUCGCAAUGCCCGAAAGGGUGACGAUGCGACGCCGCGUGAGCGAAGAAGGCCCUAGGGUUGUAAAGCUCUGUCGAGGGUUAUGAAAUAUAGAUGGGUUAAUACCCCAUUUAUUUGACAAAAGCCCAAAAGGAAGCCACGGCUAACUCUGUGCCAGCAGCCGCGGUAAUACAGAGGUGGCGAGCGUUGUUCGGAAUUAUUGGGCGUAAAGAGCACGUAGGUGGAUUUGUAAGUCAGACGUGAAAGCCUUCUGUUCAACGGAAGAAUUGCAUCUGAAACUACAAACCUUGAGUGUAGGAGGGGAGAAUGGAACUUCUGGUGGAGCGGUGAAAUGCGUAGAUAUCAGAAGGAACGUCGGCGGCGAAAGCGACUCUCCGGCCUAUUACUGACACUGAGGUGCGAAAGUUAGGGGAGCAAACGGGAUUAGAUACCCCGGUAGUCCUAACCGUAAACGAUGGGCACUAAGUAGAGGGGUUUU